AUGCUCCCUCUCAUUUCUGAUAUUCAGAGUUCCAUGCUCCCUCACAUCCCUGACAUUCUGGGUUCUAUGCUCCCUCUCAUCUCUGAUAUUCUGGAUUCUAUGCUCCUUUACAUCCCUGACAUUCUGAGUUCCAUGCUCCCUCACAUCUCUGACAUUCUAGGUUCUAUGCUCCCUCACAUCCCUGACAUUCUGGGUUCUAUGCUCCCUCUCAUCUCUGAUAUUCUGGAUUCUAUGCUCCUUUACAUCCCUGACAUUCUGAGUUCCAUGCUCCCUCACAUCUCUGACAUUCUAGGUUCUAUGCUCCCUCACAUCCCUGACAUUCUGGGUUCUAUGCUCCCUCACAUCCCUGACAUUCUGGGUUCUAUGCUCCCACACAUCCCUGACAUUCUGGGUUCUAUGCUCCCUCACAUCUCUGACAUUCUGGGUUCUAUGUUCCCUCACAUCCCUGACAUUCUGGGUUCUAUGCUCCCUCACAUCCCUGACAUUCUGGGUUCUAUGCUCCCACACAUCCCUGACAUUCUGGGUUCUAUGCUCCCUCUCAUCUCUGAUAUUCUGGAUUCUAUGCUCCUUUACAUCCCUGACAUUCUGAGUUCCAUGCUCCCUCACAUCCCUGACAUUCUAGGUUCUAUGCUCCCUCACAUCCCUGACAUUCUGGGUUCUAUGCUCCCUCACAUCCCUGACAUUCUGGGUUCUAUGCUCCCACACAUCCCUGACAUUCUGGGUUCUAUGCUCCCUCACAUCCCUGACAUUCUGGGUUCUAUGCUCCCUCUCAUCUCUGAUAUUCUGGGUUCUAUGUUCCCUCAUAUCCCUGACAUUCUGGGUUCUAUGUUCCCUCACAUCCCUGACAUUCUGGGUUCUAUGCUCCCACACAUCCCUGACAUUCUGGGUUCUAUGCUCCCUCUCAUCUCUGAUAUUCUGGAUUCUAUGCUCCUUUACAUCCCUGACAUUCUGGGUUCUAUGCUCCCUCUCAUCUCUGAUAUUCUGGAUUCUAUGCUCCCUCACAUCCCUGACAUUCUGGGUUCUAUGCUCCCUCAUAUCCCUGACAUUCUGGGUUCUAUGUUCCCUCACAUCCCUGACAUUCUGGGUUCUAUGCUCCCUCACAUCCCUGACAUUCUGGGUUCUAUGCUCCCUCACAUCCCUGACAUUCUGGGUUCUAUGCUCCCUCACAUCCCUGACAUUCUGGGUUCUAUGUUCCCUCACAUCUCUGACAUUCUGGAUUCUAUGCUCCCUUUACAUCCCUGA
rnacentral:lncRNA from 1 species